rnacentral:lncRNA from 1 species
UUAUUUUUCUUCAUCUGCAGGUCUGCUUCACUAAGCAUGAGGCGCGUGUAUCUGCUGAGCCUGGGUCUUCUGUUUGUAGUAAUUGAAGAAAUCAUCAUGCAAGACUGCUUAGCUGGUUAUAAUAAACAAAAAGGAAAGUGUGUAGAAAUAGAUGAGUGUGAGCGGGAACUCCUCGUUUGUGGAGAAAAUGCAAACUGCUUCAACACUGCAGGCAGCUACUACUGUCAGUGUCAUGGAGGGUUCAGAGCUGAGGGUAACAAACCACCUUUUAAUUUCACACAAGCAGAUGGGAUUCAGUGCAAAGACAUUGAUGAAUGUGUGGGUGGCAGCAAUAUUUGUGGUCCAAAUGCAGAAUGCAUCAAUAAUGAAGGAGAUUUUGCCUGCAAGUGUAGAUCUGGCUUCACUGCCAACAAUGGAAUGCUGAUUUUUGUUGUGAGACAAGGAGUUCAGUGUGUUGACAUCAAUGAUUGUGUGGAUGGAAAUAUUGAUUGUGGCUCUGAUGCAAUAUGUGUGAAUACUGAAGGAGGUUAUUAUUGCACAUGUGAAUCUGGCUUCAUUUCCAGCAGUGGAAACAGGACAUUUUUAGCAGGACUAGAUAUUCAGUGUGUUGGUAAGUAAGAAAGUUUUGCUUAAUGACUUUACAUUCAACCAUGAAUUAAACCAUGACCAUUUUUAACUAUGAGCAGUUGCUGGACACUAAAUAU